rnacentral:tRNA from 1 species
GGCGCUAUGGUCAAGUGGUCAAGACACGGUGCUUUCACCACCGAAUCGGCGGGUUCAACUCCCCCUAGCGUCACCA